rnacentral:tRNA from 1 species
AGAACAAUAGUUUAUAUAGAACGUUUAUUUUGCAUAUAAAAAGAAUGAAUUUUCAUUUGUUUUA